rnacentral:rRNA from 1 species
UACGGAGGAUCCGAGCGUUAUCCGGAUUUAUUGGGUUUAAAGGGUGCGUAGGCGGGAGAUUAAGUCAGCGGUGAAAGUUUGCAGCUUAACUGUAAAAUUGCCGUUGAAACUGAUUUUCUUGAGUGUAAAUAAGGUAGGCGGAAUGUGUUGUGUAGCGGUGAAAUGCAUAGAUAUAACACAGAACCCCGAUUGCGAAGGCAGCUUACCGGGCUACAACUGACGCUGAGGCACGAAAGCGUGGGGAUCAAACAGG